rnacentral:rRNA from 1 species
AUUGAACGCUGGCGGCAGGCCUAACACAUGCAAGUCGAACGGUAACAGGAAGAAGCUUGCUUCUUUGCUGACGAGUGGCGGACGGGUGAGUAAUGUCUGGGAAACUGCCUGAUGGAGGGGGAUAACUACUGGAAACGGUAGCUACUACCGCAUAACGUCGCAAGACCAAAGAGGGGGACCUUCGGGCCUCUUGCCAUCGGAUGUGCCCAGAUGGGAUUAGCUAGUAGGUGGGGUAACGGCUCACCUAGGCGACGAUCCCUAGCUGGUCUGAGAGGAUGACCGGCCACCUGGGAACUGGGACACGGUCCAGACUCCUACGGGAGGCAGCAGUGGGGAAUAUUGCACAAUGGGCGCAAGCCUGAUGCAGUCAUGCCGAGUGUAUGAAGAAGGCCUUCGGGUUGUAAAGUACUUUCAGCGGGGAGGAAGGGAGUAAAGUUAAUACCUUUGCUCAUUGACGUUACCCGCAGAAGAAGCACCGGCUAACUCCGUG